CGUAGGGUGCGAGCGUUGUCCGGAAUUAUUGGGCGUAAAGAGCUCGUAGGCGGCUUGUCGCGUCGACUGUGAAAACCCGCAGCUCAACUGCGGGCCUGCAGUCGAUACGGGCAGGCUAGAGUUCGGUAGGGGAGACAGGAAUUCCUGGUGUAGCGGUGAAAUGCGCAGAUAUCAGGAGGAACACCGAUGGCGAAGGCAGGUCUCUGGGCCGAUACUGACGCUGAGGAGCGAAAGCGUGGGGAGCGAACAGGAUUAGAUACCCUGGUAGUCCACGCUGUAAACGUUGGGCGCUAGGUGUGGGGGGCCUCUCCGGUUCCCUGUGCCGCAGCUAACGCAUUAAGCGCCCCGCCUGGGGAGUACGGCCGCAAGGCUA
rnacentral:rRNA from 1 species